CAAAUUAAAGCUCUGUGAGUUUUUUAUUUACAUUAAAAAGGUAGUUGUUUAAUCAAUUUAAUUUGA
rnacentral:tRNA from 1 species